rnacentral:ncRNA from 1 species
AUCUUGGUGGUAGUAGCAAAUAUUCAAAUGAGAACUUUAAAGAGUGAAGUGGGGAAAUGUUCCAUGUGAACAUCACUUGGACAUGGCCGGUUAGUCGAUCCUAAGAGAUGGGGAAUCCUUGUAUCAAGGGUGCACUCUGCAUGGACAUCUAAAGAGAAUUGGGUUGAUAUUCCUGAACUGGGACAUGGUGGUGGACGACAAUGUUAGGAUCGGGGGCCUGGGAAGAGUUAUCUUUUAUUUUUAAUGACUUUCCCACCCUGAAAUCAGUUCAACCAGAGAUAGGCUCCAACAUAUGGAAGAGAACCACAUGUCUUGCGGUGUUUGAUUCCCCCUCGGCGGCCAUUGAAAAUAUGGAGAAUAGAGUACCAUCCAUGCACGAUCGUACUCAUAUCUUCCUCCUUGGAUUUUUCAAUGCUC